GGCUGAGCCAUCACCCAGCACCAGGUUCCGGUGAGGACCAUAGCAACUCCUGUCCGCACUUUGCAUACUUACAUUAGUUUCCUGAAGAAUUCUCCCAUUGUGCCUUGCCCGACAUCUGAGAGCAGUGAGUGGUCUGCCUGGCAUUGAAAAGGAAAAAGUUUCUGGAAGACCCACCUGGGGCUAGAAGCCUUGAAGUUGCUGUGGGUCUGGGGCUUGUGAAGGGAAGCCGGAAUGGGGGAGGGCUGCGUGGAGGCAGGGGACUGGCCCUGAAGGCCAGAGACGAUCUCCUGGGCUACAGAUCCCAGGCCCCUGGGGUGGGAUGGUGUGUGUGUUGGGGGCACCUGAGUUGCCCACCUCAGGGGAACUUGGGGGUCCUCCAGGGCCCCAACUGCGAAGCCCCUAUUGCUGUUUUUCCUAAGCCCCCAGGCCUAAAAGCUAGAGUCCCAGGGAGAAUAAAACAGCCUGAGCAAAAAGGCUCCAAGGCAGUUCAAAGACAGAGAGAGACUGAGGAUGAAGUUUUCAAGCCACAUCCAAGGGGAGGGCUUUUCAUCUGCCAGCCUUUGAAUCGGGAAUCAAGGCGGGCAAAGUUACUACCAGGUUAAAGUUUAAAUGGCACAGAAAGGGGAGACAGGAAGAUGAAACGACGGCCGUCUGGCCAGGGGAACAAAGCCGGAGCCCAGCCUGGCCACCUGGCCGCAGAGGCGCUGAGUGGUAGCAGUCCCAGCCAGGAGGGGCUGCGACGCUGCCAUUGUUCAGCUGAAGAACGAAAGUAAUUGAAAGGAAAGGUGAGCCAAGGAGAGGCAGCCGGUGCGUAUGACUGCCUGGAUCGUUAGAAAAUAAUUUAAAGGGAACAGGCCUAUCAAGCAGUUUCUCUUAUGGAAAUGCCAUCAUUGAAGAGAAAGGAAGGGGAGGGUGGGGGAACCUUUCAUUCUUUGGAAAAGAGUGAGUUUUUUUCCCCUCACCAAAUAUAGACUUGAAUAUUAUUUGAAAUCCCGUCAUUUGGCAAACUUGCUUUACUCCCUAACUACCUAGGCUGGGGGCCCUCCACAAAACCUUGAGACUUUGGGAACCCUGAUGUCUGGGGGGAAACGGGGAUGACAUGGCUGCAUAGCCACAGGAUUUUCACUAUGAGACCGGGAAGCUCCCUGCAUCCUCAGGAAGCCCAGCCCUUGUUUAACUUCCUCCCUGGUUCUGCCUGCAAUCCUUACCUCAGAAUCGCCCCAGAGCACUGCUGCUUGACCACCUACCAGCUGUGAUUUCUGGGGUCUUGAAGACACAAAUAGCUCGAAUCUGAAAUAAAACCCCGGCAGCCCUCCUCCCCUGGCCCUCAGCGGCGGCCUGUCUGAUUGGAUGCCUCCCACAGCCCUGAAGACCAGAGCUUCAAGGAGGAAGCCGCCAGGGACACGCUGAGUCCUCGCUUCUUAAAGUGCGCCCCUGGGGCCAGGCAGCCCCUUCCCUUUGGGGAUUUGAACCCCUGGAGCCCGUUUCCCUACAAGGUGGUCCUUCUCUGGCCAGUGAAGCCUGCCUAAUGCACCCUGGGGAGGCUGAUGCCUUAAGCAAAGUGGCUCGAGCCGGCCCUGCUGAAGCUGAUCCCAGCUGGCCUGGAGCGGGUCCAAUGCAAAUGUCACCACCUCUGCAAGUACCCCUGUGACUCCUCCAGAGAAGACUGUGAGCUCCAAAGACAUCAUCAUUGUGAGGAGAGUAGCUUUGCGCUCAGUUACCUGCCACAGAAAGGUUCUGCUGCCAAGCAGGGAGUUGAAGGGAUCUGCAGACAGCCUGCCUGUGUUGGUCUGGAAGCCCAUGCUCUUUGAGGGUCAGGAGAUUCAAGACCAGGUGGCAUCUUCUGCAGAGGACACCACUUUCCAAAGACAUGGCUUGGUUCUUCAUAGAUGAUAGGUCUUGGGGGAGCUCUGGGAAAAACUAAGGCAAACUUGGUUGCUACAUUUCUUGGAGAAAGAGGAAAGGGUGGGUUAGAACUAGCUCGAUGUAGGGUAGAAAAGAGGAGGUAUGUUAGCUGGAGUUGCAGUUGCAGUAAUGGCAGUGAGGAAUGAAUGUUCUUUGAUUCUGAAGGCAUCACAAGGAGAGAAGAGCUGAGGGCAGUAGGAGGAUCCCAUCCUGCAAUAUGGAGACCCAGAAGCCACUGCCCCUUGGCCCUUCUAGAAUUCUGACCAAUACUAACAUUUGCCCAGCUUGACUAAACUUUAGACAGGUUUCUUCCUGAUGAUAGGCCCUUGGCCUCCUUUUCCUUAGAGCAUUUCCUCUAGAAAACUUGGAUUUGUAAAUUUUUUCUCUGCCCCUUUGAGAUGUAAAUCUCUCAGUCUCUUGCUAGUUUUACAAUCCAGGAAUGUUUUUCUCAAGGACCUGGGAGGACCCUUUGAAAUGUAAUCAUCAAGAAAGAUUGUACCUUGUCUCUCAGUCUCUGUGAGAGGAUGGGAGCCUAACAUUUAUAAGUGCGAAUUAGCAACACAGACAGCCUAAUCAUAUUAACUAAUUCCCCCACCCCCUUAAUGUCCUUGGGUAGUUCUCACUAGCUUAUCCCAGCACUUCAAAACCAUCCCGCCUUUUGUUUCAGGAGAGUUAAGUUCAAUCUCUCUCCCCUACUGCAACUACCUUGAGUAAAGUCUUCCUGCCAUUUCUCUUGGAUG
rnacentral:lncRNA from 1 species